rnacentral:rRNA from 1 species
CUACGGGGUGCUGCAGUGGGGAAUAUUGCACAAUGGGCGCAAGCCUGAUGCAGCCAUGCCGCGUGUAUGAAGAAGGCCUUCGGGUUGUAAAGUACUUUCAGCGGGGAGGAAGGGAGUAAAGUUAAUACCUUUGCUCAUUGACGUUACCCGCAGAAGAAGCACCGGCUAACUCCGUGCCAGCAGCCGCGGUAAUACGGAGGGUGCAAGCGUUAAUCGGAAUUACUGGGCGUAAAGCGCACGCAGGCGGGUUGUUAAGUCAGAUGUGAAAUCCCCGGGCUCAACCUGGGAACUGCAUCUGAUACUGGCAGGCUUGAGUCUCGUAGAGGGGGGUAGAAUUCCAGGUGUAGCGGUGAAAUGCGUAGAGAUCUGGAGGAAUACCGGUGGCGAAGGCGGCCCCCUGGACGAAGACUGACGCUCAGGUGCGAAAGCGUGGGGAGCAAACAGGAUUAGAUACCCUCGUAGUC